UAUUCUAUCCUACGGGGAAGGAUGAGAAGCUUCGACCAAGGUUCGACUCGAGCGUCAGCGAGAGAACGUUGCCGCAGGCAAUGGCCCGAAGGGCGAGGAGCGAUAGCGACGAGUUAUCCUUCCCCCUCUAUUC
rnacentral:sRNA from 1 species